CCUACGGGAGGCAGCAGUGGGGAAUAUUGCACAAUGGGGGAAACCCUGAUGCAGCGACGCCGCGUGAAGGAAGAAGUAUUUCGGUAUGUAAACUUCUAUCAGCAGGGACGAAAAUGACGGUACCUGACUAAGAAGCCCCGGCUAACUACGUGCCAGCAGCCGCGGUAAUACGUAGGGAGCGAGCGUUAUCCGGAUUUACUGGGUGUAAAGGGAGCGUAGGCGGGUUGGCAAGUCAGAAGUGAAAGCCCGGGGCUCAACUCCGGGACUGCUUUUGAAACUGUUGUACUAGAGUGAAGUAGAGGUAAGCGGAAUUCCUAGUGUAGCGGUGAAAUGCGUAGAUAUUAGGAGGAACAUCAGUGGCGAAGGCGGCUUACUGGACUUUAACUGACGCUGAGGCUCGAAAGCGUGGGGAGCAAACAGGAUUAGAUACCCGUGUAGUC
rnacentral:rRNA from 1 species